rnacentral:rRNA from 1 species
GAUGAACGCUGGCGGCGUGCUUAACACAUGCAAGUCGAGCGAACAGACGAGGAGCUUGCUCCUUUGACGUUAGCGGCGGACGGGAGUGUAACACGUGUAUCCCCUACCUAUAAGACUGGUAUAACUUCGGGAAACCGGAGCUAAUCCCGGAUAACAUCCUGAACCGCAUGGUUCAACAGUGAAAGACGGUCUUUCUGUAACUUAUAGCUGGAUCCGGGCGGCAUUAGCUAGUUGGUAAGGUAAUGGCUUACCAAGGCAACGAUGCGUAGCCGACGUGAGAGACGGAUCGCCCGCCCGGGAACUGGGACGCGGUCCAGGCUCCUGCGGGAGGCAGCAGAAGGGAAUCGGCCGCAGUGGGCGGAAGCCUGACGGAGCAACGCCGCGUGAGUGAAGAAGGUGUUCGGAGCGUAAAACUCGGUUAUUGGGGAAGAACAAAUGUGUAAGUAACUAUGCACGUCUUGACGGUACCUGAUCAGAAAGCCACGGCUAACUACGUG